AUGCAGCCUCUUGUUCAUUUUGCAGGAAUCUUUCAGUGUCUUCUUCGUCAAGGUAUUCGUUGUCAUCUUGUUCAUUUCAUGGUGCCAAACAGGUCUGCAUGCCACGGGUUAUGCUCUUCUGCACCUUCUUCAUUUCGUGUAGCUUCGUUUUCCAGUUCUUCAAAUGUCUGCACAAGAAUACUAAAGUGCUCGAUCUGCUUAGCAGACUAUCAAGCAGAUGAGCGGCUUCAGAGAAUACCCCCUUGUGGUCACACCUUCCAUAUCGAUUGCAUUGACCACUGGUUUUCUAAGAACACUACUUGCCCUCUUUGCCGAGUAUCGCUCCUGACUGCCCCCAGAGCUGCCAGCGUCGCUCCAACCGAUCUGGAAACACAAGCCAUCGAAGAGGACUGCUCUUCAAAUGCGCAGCAUCAUGUGGGCCUUAGAGAUGAGCACACGCGACCGGAGGAUCAGGCAGUGGACGGCAGGAUCAGUGACGGCCCAUCACAGCAGACUAACGUGGAAGCAUCAGUUGUUGUAGUCAUCGCGACUCAAACAGCAGGGUCUCCAAGUUCUUGCCACUUGUCUGACGUGUAA
rnacentral:rRNA from 1 species